AUAUUCCGACAGGGGAGCGCCACAGCGCUGAGAGUGCGGUGCCCGCAAGGGACACGGACCGCAGACCCUCUGAACCUUGCCCCGGUCAUUCGGGGUAGGAAGUUCGGCGAUUACUCAAG
rnacentral:ncRNA from 1 species